rnacentral:rRNA from 1 species
GUGGGGAAUCUUGCGCAAUGGGCGAAAGCCUGACGCAGCCAUGCCGCGUGAAUGAUGAAGGUCUUAGGAUUGUAAAAUUCUUUCACCGGGGACGAUAAUGACGGUACCCGGAGAAGAAGCUCCGGCUAACUUCGUGCCAGCAGCCGCGGUAAUACGAAGGGGGCUAGCGUUGCUAGGAAUUACUGGGCGUAAAGGGCGCGUAGGCGGACAGCUUAGUCAGAGGUGAAUGCCCAGGGCUCCGCCUUGGAAUUGCCUUUGGUAGUGGCUGUCAUGAGUUUGGGAGAGGUGAGUGGAACUCCGAGUGUAGAGGUGAAAUUCGUGGAUAUUCGGAAGAUCACCAGUGGCGAAGGCGACUCACUGGCCCAAUACUGACGCUGAGGCGCGAAAGCGUGGGGAGCAAACAGGAUUAGAAACCCCGGUAGUCC